GGAGAGGUGGGUGAGUGGCUGAAACCACCAGUUUGCUAAACUGACGUAGGAGACCUUCCUACCACGAGUUCGAAUCUCGUCCUCUCCGCAA
rnacentral:tRNA from 1 species